GAGGGCGCUCCCACCGGGAGCCAGCAGGACGCCCACCCCCACUGUGCGCGGCGCCAGGGGCCUCUCCCGCUCAUCCUCAGCCCCGGGCCUUCACGCUCCUGACAAGAGGGCUCUCUCCUCUACCGUGGACGCGGUCGCCCCUGUGUGCCAAGGCCUGAGGGACUUCCCUCCGUCCGGCUUCUCUAGAGAAGAAACAGAGUUGGUUUCCGGCAAGCGCACCCUAACAGGUCUGGGUCACCCAUCAGAGCACCAUCUCCCACCACCACCAAGAAGGACCAGGACUUGAGCACGUUUCACAACUGAAUCUUUGGGUGUGGCUGCUGCAGUUUCUCUGAAAGUACUGCUGGGCCAUGAGAUCUGAAAAGCUUGUAAAUACUGUGGAUCGCUAACCAGAUAUGCUCUGUGUCACCUGGAUUACUUCUGUUGUUUGUGGGAAACAUCCCAGGGU
ensembl:lncRNA